GUGCUCACCUCAAGAGCACAUAUAUGAAAACAGGAACAAUAUUGAAAAGAUUAGCAUGCCCCCUAUCUGAGGGUGACAAUCAAAUUUCUGAAGGAUUCCAUAUUUUU